rnacentral:rRNA from 1 species
AUUGAACGCUGGCGGCAUGCUUUACACAUGCAAGUCGGACGGCAGCACAGAGAAGCUUGCUUCUUGGGUGGCGAGUGGCGAACGGGUGAGUAAUAUAUCGGAACGUACCGAGUAAUGGGGGAUAACUAAUCGAAAGAUUAGCUAAUACCGCAUAUUCUCUGAGGAGGAAAGCAGGGGACCUUCGGGCCUUGCGUUAUUCGAGCGGCCGAUAUCUGAUUAGCUAGUUGGUGGGGUAAAGGCCUACCAAGGCGACGAUCAGUAGCGGGUCUGAGAGGAUGAUCCGCCACACUGGGACUGAGACACGGCCCAGACUCCUACGGGAGGCAGCAGUGGGGAAUUUUGGACAAUGGGCGCAAGCCUGAUCCAGCCAUGCCGCGUGUCUGAAGAAGGCCUUCGGGUUGUAAAGGACUUUUGUCAGGGAAGAAAAGGCUGUUGCUAAUAUCAAUAGCUGAUGACGGUACCUGAAGAAUAAGCACCGGCUAACUACGUGCCAGCAGCCGCGGUAAUACGUAGGGUGCGAGCGUUAAUCGGAAUUACUGGGCGUAAAGCGAGCGCAGACGGUUACUUAAGCAGGAUGUGAAAUCCCCGGGCUCAACCUGGGAACUGCGUUCUGAACUGGGUGACUAGAGUGUGUCAGAGGGAGGUAGAAUUCCACGUGUAGCAGUGAAAUGCGUAGAGAUGUGGAGGAAUACCGAUGGCGAAGGCAGCCUCCUGGGAUAACACUGACGUUCAUGCUCGAAAGCGUGGGUAGCAAACAGG